rnacentral:rRNA from 1 species
AUUGAACGCUGGCGGCAGGCCUAACACAUGCAAGUCGAGCGAGAAAGGUCUUCGGACUGAGUACAGCGGCGGACGGGUGAGUAAUGCGCAGGAAUCUACCUGGUAGUGGGGGAUAACUCGGGGAAACUCGAACUAAUACCGCAUACGCCCUACGGGGAAAGCGGGGACCGUUCGGGCCUCGCGCUAUCAGAUGAGCCUGCGUAGGAUUAGCUUGUUGGUGAGGUAAAGGCUCACCAAGGCGACGAUCCUUAGCUGGUCUGAGAGGAUGAUCAGCCACACUGGAACUGAGACACGGUCUAGACUCCUACGGGAGGCAGCAGUGGGGAAUAUUGCGCAAUGGGCGAAAGCCUGACGCAGCCAUGCCGCGUGUGUGAAGAAGGCCCUUGGGUUGUAAAGCACUUUCAAUUGGGAAGAAAGGUUGCGUGUUAAUAGCACGUAGCUGUGACGUUACCUUUAGAAGAAGCACCGGCUAACUCCGUGCCAGCAGCCGUACGG